CGCGUAGGUGGUUUGAUAAGCGAGAUGUGAAAGCCCCGGGCUUAACCUGGGAACGGCAUUUCGAACUGUCAGGCUAGAGUAUGGUAGAGGAGUGUGGAAUUUCCUGUGUAGCGGUGAAAUGCGUAGAUAUAGGAAGGAACACCAGUGGCGAAGGCGGCACUCUGGACCAAUACUGACACUGAGGUGCGAAAGCGGUGGGGAGCAAACA
rnacentral:rRNA from 1 species